rnacentral:rRNA from 1 species
AUUGAACGCUGGCGGCAGGCCUAACACAUGCAAGUCGAACGGUAACAGGAAGCAGCUUGCUGCUUCGCUGACGAGUGGCGGACGGGUGAGUAAUGUCUGGGAAACUGCCUGAUGGAGGGGGAUAACUACUGGAAACGGUAGCUAAUACCGCAUAACGUCGCAAGACCAAAGAGGGGGACCUUAGGGCCUCUUGCCAUCGGAUGUGCCCAGACGGGAUUAGCUAGUAGGUGGGGUAACGGCUCACCUAGGCGACGAUCCCUAGCUGGUCUGAGAGGAUGACCAGCCACACUGGAACUGAGACACGGUCCAGACUCCUACGGGAGGCAGCAGUGGGGAAUAUUGCACAAUGGGCGCGAGCCUGAUGCAGCCAUGCCGCGUGUAUGAAGAAGGCCUUCGGGUUGUAAAGUACUUUCAGCGGGGAGGAAGGGAGUAAAGUUAAUACCUUUGCUCAUUGACGUUACCCGCAGAAGAAGCACCGGCUAACUCCGUGC